AACGAACGCUGGCGGCAUGCCUAACACAUGCAAGUCGAACGAGAACUUCGGGUCUAGGGGCGCACGGGUACGUAACGCGGGGGAACCUGCCCUUAGGUUCGGAAUAACUCCCCGAAAGGGGUGCUAAUACCGGAUAAGCUCUUCGGACCAAAGAUGUAUCGCCUUUGGAUGGGCCCGCGUUGGAUUAGCUAGUUGGUAGGGUAAAAGCCUACCAAGGCGACGAUCCAUAGCUGGUCUGAGAGGAUGAUCAGCCACACUGGGACUGAGACACGGCCCAGACUCCUACGGGAGGCAGCAGUGGGGAAUAUUGGACAAUGGGCGAAAGCCUGAUCCAGCAAUGCCGCGUGAGUGAUGAAGGCCUUAGGGUUGUAAAGCUCUUUUACCCGGGAUGAUAAUGACAGUACCGGGAGAAUAAGCUCCGGCUAACUCCGUG
rnacentral:rRNA from 1 species